UCACUCUUUGACCGGUACCUUGAACCGAGAGAAAGGCCACUGGGCUAAUCUAACGUGCAAGGCAGGCCCGCCGGUAAAUAAACGUAGGGUGGGCAAGCGUUGUGUCCGGAUUUAUUGGCGUAAAAGGCGCGGCGCAGGGCCGGCUAUGUUAAAGUUCUGGUUGUCAAAGGCCCCCGAAGCUCAAACUCCCGGUUCCGCAAUCCGGACAACCUGUGUAAGCCUGGAAGUGGCAGAAGAAGGAAAUGCCGGUAUUCUACCGUGUAGCGGUGAAAUGGCGUAAGAGGAUGUGGUAGGAAACACCAGUUGGCGGAAGGGCGGGCUUUUCUUGGUCUGUAAACUGGACGCUGAGGCGCGAAAGCGUUGGGGAGCAAACAGGAUUAAGAUACCCUGGUAGUCCACGCCGUAAACGAUGAGUGCCUAGGUGUUGGGGGGUUUUCAAUACCUUCAGUGCCGCAGCUAACGCAAUAAGCACUCCGCCUGGGGAGUACGCUCGCAAGAGUGAAACUCAAAAGGAAUUGACGGGGGCCCGCACAAGCGGUGGGAGCAUGUGGUUUUAAUUCGAAGCAACCGCGAAGAACCUUACCAGGUCUUGACAUCCCGCUGACCGCUCUGGAGACAGAGCUUCCCUUCGGGGCAGCGGUGACAGGUGGUGCAUGGUUGUCGUCAGCUCGUGUCGUGAGAUGUUGGGUUAAGUCCCGCAACGAGCGCAACCCUUAUCUUUAGUUGCCAGCAUUCAGUUGGGCACUCUAGAGAGACUGCCGUCGACAAGACGGAGGAAGGCGGGGAUGACGUCAAAUCAUCAUGCCCCUUAUGACCUGGGCUACACACGUGCUACAAUGGUUGGUACAACGGGAUGCUACCUCGCGAGGGGACGCCAAUCUCUGAAAACCAAUCUCAGUUCGGAUAGUAGGCUGCAACUCGCCUACAUGAAGUCGGAAUCGCUAGUAAUCGCGGAUCAGCAAGCCGCGGUAAAUACUUCCCGGGCCUUGUACCCCCCCCCCGUCACACCAUAACAGUUUCCCCAUAGAGUGUUACCCGGUCUAUGUAAGUUGUCACAAAGGUUCCGGUAGUUGUUUUUCUAAGUUCA
rnacentral:rRNA from 1 species